ACCCAGCUGGCUCAGUUGGUAGAGCACGUGACUCUUGAUCUCAGGGUCAUGAUUUCAAGCCCCAUGCUGGACG
rnacentral:tRNA from 1 species